ensembl:lncRNA
UUUUGAAAAUGACACACUUCCUGCUGCCAGUUGGUGGCGCUGUAACUUUGACUCCUAAUAGUCACAUAUAUGCGAUCGGCAUCAUACAUCGAACAAACCGAUGAAGUUUGAUCAAACUCAGGUAAUGUAUGUUGAUGUUAUUAGACAUUUCCUGUUUCUCAUUUCUCGCCAUAAAUUCAACGCCUCGCCACGGACAAACCGUUCGAGAUAUCAAAAAUAUCUUCGCAAUUUAGCAUCCCCAAUGUCUUGAGAUCAUGUUCACCAAGUUUUGUGGCGAACGGGUGGAGUUCCUCAGAGGAGUAUAUCAAAUUCCAGAGCAUGUGUUUUUCACAAAACCCUAAAUAGCCAACUUCCUGUUGGGCGGAGCUUAUGAUAUGCAGUGCGAAAGUUGUUUGGUUUGAUGAGAUCUACAUGUGUACCGAGUUUCAUAUGUAUACGUGCAAGUAUGCAUGAUAUAUGGCCCUCAAUAUUCCAGGGGGCGCUGUAGAGCCCCUGUGCCACGCCCGUGUAUCAGUCUCUGCCCGGCCCUAAUGGCCGCAGAUUCCAAGGUGUGUGCCAAUUUUCAAGAGUUUUUGAGCAUGUUAAGGGCCCCAAAAGCCCCCGAAACCUUGGAAAAAAAUUAGAAGAAUAAAG